GAGAAAGUACUAAGACCUGCUAACUCUUUACUCCGUGCUUAACAAGCACGGCUUUCUCA
rnacentral:tRNA from 1 species